CCUACGGGAGGCAGCAGUGGGGAAUAUUGCACAAUGGACGAAACCCUGAUGCAGCGACGCCGCGUGAGCGAGGAAGGAUUUCGGUGUGUAAAGCUCUAUCUGCAGGGACGAAAACACACGGUAGCGGACUAAGAAGCACCGGCUAACUACGUGCCAGCAGCCGCGGUAAUACGGAGGGGGCAAGCGUUAUCCGGAUUUACUGGGUGUAAAGGGAGCGUAGACGGCAAGGCAAGCCAGAAGUGAAAGGGCAGGGCUCAACCCUGUAAAUGCUUUUGAAACUGUGGUGCUAGAGUGCAGGAGAGGUAAGUGGAAUGCAUAGUGUAGCGGUGAAAUGCGUAGAUAUUAGGCGGAACACCAGUUGCGAAGGCAGCUUACCGGACUGUAACUGACGUUGAGGCUCGAAAGCGUGGGGAGCAAACAGGAUUAGAUACCCUAGUAGUC
rnacentral:rRNA from 1 species